ACUUUGCUAUACGUUAUGUGCACUUAAGAGCCUUUUACAAGAUAAUCAUAACAAUUUACAUAAAUUGACAUUUUUUUUCUGCCAAUAUUAGUAGCUGAAUGGAGUGCCUAUCUGUACAUAUUCACAAAGCAAUUGUUAACAUCCACUGGGAGCAUUACAGCAUUCACUGUGUAAGUAGAGAGGUCAGAAAUGCCAGUGAGCUGAAACGUUGAUGGGGGAAAAGAAAGGUUAUCUUCACCAAGACUAAUGACUGGCAUUUUUUGUACGUCAAGCUCUGUGUAAUAAAAUGGGCAUUAAGGAAUUUUCCUUAUUGUACUAUGCCUUGGUUGUCAGAAAACAAAGUGGUUGCAUAAAAUUCAUAACUCCUGUGGGGAAAUACUUAAGUACUGUUCUUGACCAGCUCUUCACAGACCUGGUGGCAACUGGAAAUCAAAGUGCAACCUUGCCGAGAAACUUGCUUUCAUGUUUUCUCAGUGGUAUCUACACUGACUGAAUGCAACACAUUCCAAAGGGCACAGUAAAUUAAGGCCUUUAUUAACCAGCUUAGGUUCUGGGUCUGAAUUAAUUAAAUCCUUGACAGGUACAAAACUCUUAAUAGCUUUCCAUUAGAAACAGCUACACAACAUUGCUACAGUUGCAUGACACAAAAUUAAAGCAGAGGAGCACCUGUUAGUGCCCAAGGAUCCAUUUGAAUUUAUUCAAGAACAUCCUGCAUAGAUGUGAGGCUGUUGUUAUAUUGUUUAUUUUUAUUCUUUUUAGGAAAUUUUGUGACCUGAUGCAUCACCACUCCAGUCGUAGUAUUUGCAGCCAUUUUAGACACAAUGGCAAACAACUCAUCACGGCCCAGUUUGUUGAGCUGCUUUCCACUGCUGUAACUUCUUGAAGUAGCUUCCUGCAUUUCAAAAGAUCAGGGGCUCCUGAGUAGUGAGCUGAAAUGAUGGACCACCAGCUUUGGAGGAAGAUACGUGAUGGAGGCAAGGACUUCAUGUACAGCCUGGCACCGUUAGGCUGUUCGUGUAUCAUCUCCCCAGAAGUACACCUGUAACCACCUAAGAGCCCAAGCCUGUGAGAUGUGAAACCUUUUGGGCGGUGUCUGGUUGGCUCCAGGACCAGAAAAGUCAGCUGUGCAGCUCAGUUUCUCUCUCCUCUUCACAAGCAGAGGUACAGGCAUAAAAAGACAUGCAAACUGAAAAAAAUUGGCAUAGGUAAAGCUUCUGCCUUGUGUUUUUCAAUUUCCUAGUUGAGUUGCUUUCCUUCUCCUCUAUCCUCAGCUGCUCGAAAGGAUGCCUGGAACAAAAUGGUCUUGAAAUGCUUCUCUCUGCUGACACUAGCAAGGUAGGAGAGCAGUCACUGGGCAUGAGGAGGAGAAAUCAAACUGGAAAAAAAAUAGGGAUAAAAUGAGGGAGCACUGUUUAUUGAGUGCUGUUGUGCCUCAGGAUUGCAUCCCCAAAUACAAGGUAUGUAAAUAACACUUUAACUUGAAUGAUGAUAAAAGACAGUCUUGAGAAAAGGCAGAGAAAGAAGUAUUUACAUCAGUGAUGCAGUAUGGUUCUACCUCUGAAUGACCACAAACUUAACCACAUUGUCCAGUAUAGUGGAAGAUCUGGGUGGACCAAAAUGUCCAAACCAUUUCCUACUCUACUGCAAUGGCGAGUAAGUGAAAUGCCUUGCUUUGUAUUUUGUUUUAUUCCUACGUAUCCAAUAGAUUCAUGAUGUCUGACAAAAUCUUGUUUCUUAACAGCGAUGAGAGAGAGAUCUUGUUCGUUCAUAACUGCCAAGAUUGAAAGCAUGCUCAAACUGGACUCAGUGAAGUCCUGUGUCAUAGAGAUCCCUGCCAUGGGUAACAGGUGGCGAACUCUGAUCAGUGUUACUCUGAAAGGUCAGUGUGGCUAAGUAGCCUGAUGUUUGUUAUACUUGAUGCCAACCUAUACCGAUUUCUGUCCUGAUAUAUCAAGAGGGAAGAAGCUCACAGAUACAAGUAUAGUUUGUCUGCUUUUGUCGCUUGAAAGAAAGUGCUCUACACAAGACCCGGUAGGCUUCGGUAAAGUUGAAAUAUUUGAUUUCCAAAGUUAAGAUCGUGUUUAAAUAUGUUAAGGCAACCUCCCCGUAAUGUGAGACAUAAUGAUUUACUUUUCAAGUAGGUGUUGUGAUUAUCAGUUGAAUAUAAUUUUAUAUUAGCUUCCAUAGUUAAUCUGGAGUCCCAGUAUAUUAGGAAAAUGUGUGAACAUUUAUUAUAAGUUUGCAUAUAUGGAACAGUAACUUUGGUAUGUGUUCAGAGCAUGUUAUUGCAUACGUGAAAUAAGUCAUAGUUCCAUGACAACAGCCGUGCAAGAAGAAUAAGAGAACAGAAAAGAUGAGGAGAGAGGUAAUUAGCUCUUUUUUAAUUUGUUGAGGGGGAGCUGUUAGGGAUUCAUUAGCAGGACAGUAGAGACCAGGUACCUCACACACUGCAGUAUUCUGAACAAGCCUACAGUACCAGGACUGUUAGUUAGAGUUAGUGUUGUAACUUAAGAGCAUCAGCUGAUCCUUGAGCUGGAACGUGGAUCAGAAAUAUCAUUUAAAUGCAAGUAUGCAUGCUUCCCCUUGCUUUUAUUUGCUUCCUUUUUUCAGUGUUAGUGUUACUAGGUGACAGUCCACAGCUUUGUUAAAAAGAUUGCAUCAGUAGUGAAUAUAAAUGGUAUUUACCAAUUAUAUUU